UGGGGAAUAUUGGACAAUGGGGGCAACCCUGAUCCAGCAAUGCCGCGUGGGUGAAGAAGGUUUUCGGAUCGUAAAACCCUUUUCUGUGUGACGAGAACGGACGGUAGCACAGGAAUAAGUCUCGGCUAACUACGUGCCAGCAGCCGCGGUAAAACGUAGGAGACAAACGUUAUCCGGAGUUACUGGGCGUAAAGGGCGUGUAGGUGGUUCUGUAAGUCUGGCGUGAAAUUUCUCGGCUUAACCGGGAAAGGUCGUCGGAUACUGCAGGGCUAGAGGACGGUAGAGGCGUGUGGAAUUCCGGGUGUAGUGGUGAAAUGCGUAGAGAUCCGGAGGAACACCAGUGGCGAAGGCGACACGCUGGGCCGUACCUGACACUGAUGCGCGACAGCAUGGGGAGCAAA
rnacentral:rRNA from 1 species